GAUGAAGAACGCAGUGAAAUGCGAUAAGUAGUGUGAAUUGCAGAAUUCAGUGAAUCAUCGAAUCUUUGAACGCACAUUGCGCCCUUUGGUAUUCCAAAGGGCAUGCCUGUUCGAGCGUCAUUUGUACCCUCAAGCUUUGCUUGGUGUUGGGCGUCUUGUCUCUAGCUUUGCUGGAGACUCGCCUUAAAGUGAUUGGCAGCCGGCCUACUGGUUUCGGAGCGCAGCACAAGUCGCACUCUCUAUCAGCAAAGGUCUAGCAUCCAUUAAGCCUUUUUUUCAACUUUUGACCUCGGAUCAGGUAGGGAUACCCGCUGAACUUAAGCAUAUCAAUAAGCGGAGGA
rnacentral:misc_RNA from 1 species